rnacentral:rRNA from 1 species
UAAGGUAGUAAUAGUUAUGGUCUUGAAACUUAAAAAAUUUGGCGGUAUUUUAGUCUAUUCAGAGGAACCUGUCUUUUAAUCGAUAUUCCACGAUGAACCUUACUUAAAUUUGUUAUCAGUUUAUAUACCGUCGUUAUUAAAAUAUUUUAUAAGAAUUUUAAUUUUUUUGAUUUUUUUUUAAAAAAAUAUAUCAGAUCAAGGUGUAGCUUAUAUUUAAGUAUUGAUGGGUUACAAUAAAUUUAUUUAUUUGAAUAUAAAUUUGAAAUAUUUAUUGAAAUUGGAUUUGAUAGUAAAAUUAUAAAGAUUAAUAAU